rnacentral:rRNA from 1 species
GACGAACGCUGGCGGCGUGCCUAAUACAUGCAAGUAGAACGCUGAAGGAGGAGCUUGCUUCUCUGGAUGAGUUGCGAACGGGUGAGUAACGCGUAGGUAACCUGCCUGGUAGCGGGGGAUAACUAUUGGAAACGAUAGCUAAUACCGCAUAAUAGUAGAUGUUGCAUGACAUUUACUUAAAAGGUGCAAUUGCAUCACUACCAGAUGGACCUGCGUUGUAUUAGCUAGUUGGUGGGGUAACGGCUCACCAAGGCGACGAUACAUAGCCGACCUGAGAGGGUGAUCGGCCACACUGGGACUGAGACACGGCCCAGACUCCUACGGGAGGCAGCAGUAGGGAAUCUUCGGCAAUGGACGGAAGUCUGACCGAGCAACGCCGCGUGAGUGAAGAAGGUUUUCGGAUCGUAAAGCUCUGUUGUAAGAGAAGAACGAGUGUGAGAUUUGAAAGUUCA